AGAGUGUUAAGUUAUAAAGACUAUAAUAUUUCAAGUAUUAAUGAGGUUAAUACCACACUUUA
rnacentral:tRNA from 1 species